GAUGAACGCUGGCGGCGUGCCUAAUACAUGCAAGUCGAGCGAACGGACGAGAAGCUUGCUUCUCUGAUGUUAGCGGCGGACGGGUGAGUAACACGUGGAUAACCUACCUAUAAGACUGGGAUAACUUCGGGAAACCGGAGCUAAUACCGGAUAAUAUUUUGAACAGCAUGGUUCAAAAGUGAAAGACGGUCUUGCUGUCACUUAUAGAUGGAUCCGCGCUGCAUUAGCUAGUUGGUAAGGUAACGGCUUACCAAGGCAACGAUGCAUAGCCGACCUGAGAUGGUGAUCGGCCACACUGGAACUGAGACACGGCCCAGACUCCUACGGGAGGCAGCAGUAGCGAAUCUUCCGCAAUGGGCGAAAGCCUGACGGAGCAACGCCGCGUGAGUGAUGAAGGUCUUCGGAUCGUAAAACGCUGUUAUUAGGGAAGAACAUAUGUGUAAGUAACUGUGCACAUCUUGACGGUACCUAAUCAGAAAGCCACGGCUAACUACGUG
rnacentral:rRNA from 1 species